CUAGCUUGCUAGGAGGCGUCGAGCGGCGGACGGGUGAGUAAUGCAUAGGAAUCUGCCCGGUAGUGGGGGAUAACUUGAGGAAACUCAAGCUAAUACCGCAUACGCCCUACGGGGGAAAGCAGGGGCUCUUCGGACCUUGCGCUAUCGGAUGAGCUUAUGUCGGAUUAGCUGGUUGGUGAGGUAACGGCUCACCAAGGCGACGAUCCGUAGCUGGUCUGAGAGGAUGAUCAGCCACAUCGGGACUGAGACACGGCCCGAACUCCUACGGGAGGCAGCAGUGGGGAAUAUUGGACAAUGGGGGCAACCCUGAUCCAGCCAUGCCGCGUGUGUGAAGAAGGCCCUCGGGUUGUAAAGCACUUUCAGCGAGGAAGAAUGCUUGUCGGUUAAUACCCGGCAAGGGAGACAUCACUCGCAGAAGAAGCACCGGCUAACUCCGUGCCAGCAGCCGCGGUAAUACGGAGGGUGCGAGCGUUAAUCGGAAUUACUGGGCGUAAAGCGUGCGUAGGCGGCUUGAUAAGCCGGUUGUGAAAGCCCCGGGCUCAACCUGGGAACGGCAUCCGGAACUGUUAGGCUA
rnacentral:rRNA from 1 species